GCAUAUCAAUAAGCGGAGGAAAAGAAACCAACAGGGAUUGCCUCAGUAGCGGCGAGUGAAGCGGCAAGAGCUCAGAUUUGAAAUCGUGCUUUGCGGCACGAGUUGUAGAUUGCAGGUUGGAGUCUGUGUGGAAGGCGGUGUCCAAGUCCCUUGGAACAGGGCGCCCAGGAGGGUGAGAGCCCCGUGGGAUGCCGGCGGAAGCAGUGAGGCCCUUCUGACGAGUCGAGUUGUUUGGGAAUGCAGCUCCAAGCGGGUGGUAAAUUCCAUCUAAGGCUAAAUACUGGCGAGAGACCGAUAGCGAACAAGUACUGUGAAGGAAAGAUGAAAAGCACUUUGAAAAGAGAGUGAAACAGCACGUGAAAUUGUUGAAAGGGAAGGGUAUUGCGCCCGACAUGGGGAUUGCGCACCGCUGCCUCUCGUGGGCGGCGCUCUGGGCUUUCCCUGGGCCAGCAUCGGUUCUUGCUGCAGGAGAAGGGGUCUGGAACGUGGCUCUUCGGAGUGUAUAGCCAGGGCCAGAUGCUGCGUGCGGGGACCGAGGACUGCGGCGUGUAGGCACGGAUGCUGGAGAACGGCGCAACACCGCCCGUCUU
rnacentral:rRNA from 1 species